AAACACAUCGACCUCA
rnacentral:rRNA from 1 species